rnacentral:ncRNA from 2 species
AUGGAAUAUGUGGGGAGCUUGUGUGCAGGCUGAGAGGGAGUUUAUAGCUCCGACCCUGGAACCUGAUUUGGAUAAUGCCAACGUAGGGAAAGCUUUCACACGGUAU